CGAACCCCGGCCGGGUGAUCCGGCGGAGCUGCGCGACCUGCUCGAAGACGCGGUGCGCCUGCGCCUGCGGAGCGACGUGGACGUCGGUUCUUGCCUGAGCGGCGGCCUCGACUCCUCGUCCAUCGUGGCCCUCACCGCCUCCUUGCGCGGCGCGUCGCCCAAUGGGCGCCACCGCUCGUUCAGCGUGGUCUACGACGACCCCGGCCUCCGCGAAGAGCCUUACGUCACCGACGUGGUCGCCGCCACCGGUGUGGAAGGCGUCAGGACCACGCCGACGGCCACCGAGCUGCUGCGCGACCUUCCCUCCCUCGUUCGCCACCAGGACGAGCCCUUCGCCUCCCUCGGCCUGUACUCGCAGUGGCGCGUGAUGGCGCUGGCCCGGACGGAAGGAGUGAAGGUG
rnacentral:misc_RNA from 1 species